GCUGGGCAUGGUGGCAUGCACUGUAGUCCCAGCUACUCAGUAGGCCGAGGCUGGAGGAGCACUUGAGGCCAAGCGUUCUGAGCUGUAGUGCCUCUGCCCAUGUGGUGUCCUCACUAAGUUCAGCAACAGCAUGGUGAUCUCCUGGGAGGGGACUUCUGAGUUUGCCUAAAAAGGGGUAAACUGGCCCAGAUCAGAAAUGGAGCAGGUCAAAACUCCUGUGCUGAAUGCUAGUGGGAUUGUGCCUGUGAAUAGCCACUGCACUCUAAUCUGGGCAACAUAGCAAGACCCUACCUCU
rnacentral:SRP_RNA from 1 species